rnacentral:rRNA from 1 species
AGCAGCCGCGGUAAUUCCAGCUCCAAUAGCGUAUAUUAAAGUUGUUGCAGUUAAAAAGCUCGUAGUUGAACUUCGGGGUUUACCCAUUGGUCAGGCUUAAUUGUCUGUACUGGUGAGAUAAAUCUCUACCUUCUGAGGAACUUUCAUGUCAUUAAUUUGGUGUGAUUGGAAAUCAGGACUGUUACUUUGAAAAAAUUAGAGUGUUUAAAGCAGGCUAACGUCUGAAUACAUUAGCAUGGAAUAAUGAAAUAGGACGGAUUGAUUCUAUUUCGUUGGUUUCUAGGGUCACCGUAAUGAUUAAUAGGGAUAGUUGGGGGCAUUAGUAUUCAAUUGUCAGAGGUGAAAUUCUUGGAUUUAUUGAAGACUAACUACUGCAAAAGCAUUUGCCAAGGAUGUUUUCAUUAAUCAAGAACGAAAGUUAGGGGAUCGAAGACGAUCAGAUACCGUCGUAGUCUUAACCAUAAACUAUGCUGACUAGGGAUCGGACGAAGUUAAUUUUAUAAUGACGCGUUCGGCACCUUAC